AGAAAAAAACACAGGAUAUCUCAUUUUUCCUGGCAGCGCCACGUGCCCCUCCAAGACCACUGAAACGCCUGCAAAAUAACCCCCAAGGGGGGGUUUUUAACCCUUGCUUAACCUCAAGCGUCCACGCAGGUCGCCAAUGAUGUUGUAGCAGCUGGACUGAUAUUUCUGUUCUUGCCGUGAGAUCGCAAUGCUGCCGGGGAGCGGGAUCUGCCGUUUAAUAUUCUUUUUCUGCCUCCUCUCUCCCGUUAAGGAAGGGAACAAUACCGAAGUUGCAACACUGGAGCAGCAGCGCCGCCGCCGCCCCUGUCCGAGCGGGAAGACCCAACCUAGACGGACAGGGAAGCUUUCUCCAGCCUGACGCGACUCGCUCUUGGGCGACGGGGGAGCAGAUCGUCCAGCCCCCUUUCUCUCAGUGCUGAGGUUUCGAUCGCCUGUUAGUAGAAGGAUCUGGGUCGGAGGAAGCCAGCGACCUUCCGCGGUGGAUUUCUGGCCAGGCGGCUACUGCGCUGCAGAGUAUGUGGUGGCCGGAAAAGUUUUGGCUGGCGCUGUUGCUCCAAGCAGCAGUGCUCGCCGGUGUUGUGCCUGAUUCUGGACUCCUACUCAGUCUUGCAUUCCAAAGCCUUCUAGAUAGCCAUGAUGGGACGAGGGGACUCUGGAGCGCUCGAGGCCCUCUCAGGGGACACAAUGAGCCCUCUCAUGCCCAAAUCACUGAGGACCUUUUAUAGGAGUGAGCCACUGGCCCUGGGGAUCACCCAGAUAUUCAUAGGAUUGGCGGGAAUAGCUAUUGGCAUUUUUAUAGACUUGCCAUCAGAUGUACAGCUUUUUCGUGUUCACUUUGAAGCCCCAAUCUGGACCGGAAUCCUGUACGUCAUUUCUGGAUCCCUGUCUGUGGCUGCUGCCAAGAACCCCAAGAUGCCAUUGGCAGCAUUCGUGUGGUUCCCAGGCGGUCCCCCAUCCAGGGCCUGAUCAGACCCAGGCCUGCUUAGCUUCAGCAAGAUGGCGGCCUUGUGUGCCUUCAGACCAUCCCCUGGGAUCAAGGAGUCUCAAUGAUGACAGUCCUGCUGGGGAUGAAUGCAGUAAGCGCUGUGACAGUUGGUUUUCGGAUCCUCUUCUCAUUGCAGCAAUUAAAUCAUGUGAUGUUUAUAAGCUGUUUUCACUGUGACUACAGUUAUGGAGAAGAUGACUGCAGCAGAGCUUUGUGGUGCUCAUUUACCAUGGUGAUUUAUCAGAGCUCAGGCCCAACAAGCCCAUCUGCUUGCCAGCCCCUGAAAAAGGAAAACGAGAUCCCGUAAAAUUGCUGUCUCAUAUGUGCACCUAAUCUAUUCCACCACCUCUCACUUUCCAGAGUCGUUUGGGAACUCCUGACUCCUCCACUGUGUGCACUUAUAUAUAUAUAUAUCUUUGGCCUUGUGUUUUGCUGUUUCCUUCAAAUAAACUGGCCGAUAAUU